rnacentral:piRNA from 1 species
UCUAAGAAACAGAAGUGUGUCUGUAGAA